rnacentral:rRNA from 1 species
UACAGGGGGUGCAAACGUUGCUCGGAAUUAUUGGGCGUAAAGCGCGCGUAGGCGGCUACUUAAGUCGGAUGUGAAAGCCCCUGGCUCAACUGGGGAAGUGCACCCGAAACUGAGUAGCUUGAGUGCAAAAGAGGGCCGCGGAAUUCCCGGUGUAGAGGUGAAAUUCGUAGAUAUCGGGAGGAACACCGGUGGCGAAGGCGGCGGCCUGGGUUGACACUGACGCUGAGAAGCGAAAGCAUGGGGAGCGAACAGG